GCGCCGGUGAUGUAAGGCGAACAUCGCUGCCCGGAAAGCAGAAGAUGCGGGUUCGAGUCCAGCCUGGCGCA
rnacentral:tRNA from 1 species